AGUUCUCUCAGAACCCUCUGCAGAAAUGAUCAGAGACUUGAACACCGAGGCAGACAAGCCAAUUCGGUAUUGAGCAAGAUACCUUGGACUGAGAAAAUCUCCUGAGAAGAGGGCAUGCAGAAAGGAGCAAGGCCGAACAACUUCGACUUUCCUUUCUUGGAUUCAUUACAAACAACAUAGAUGUGGAUGCUCAAGUCCUCUGAUGGUCCUUAAAAAUAGGCAGGUCUUUGAAAAGGAAUAACCAAAGUAAGAAGAAGCUCCAAGAAUAUUUGGAGCAAUUACUAUUGACUGGAUGGAGAAGAUGGAAGAAAUUGCCUUUCAUUCAGGGCAUGGAAUCUCAACACUACAGCAGUUAUACCAAGUGGCCCAGCAUCAUCUUCCUGACCCCUCCCAUCGAUCUCUUCUCCCAAGUGCCCAUUAUGUGGCAGGUUCUCAGAAAUUAUUGAUCAAGAGAAAGAAGAUGGAUUCUUGCCCUCCAGGAGGUCACUUCCGAGGCAGUACAUAAGACAGCUGCAUACCAGGUAGCUGGUACUGACUGGCUGAUGAAUGACACACAGCGCUGAGAGACGGAAUGCUUCUGAUCAGAUCGAAAGGCAGGCUGCAUUGGAAAGUGGUGCUUCCAGCUGAAAUCAUGGUGCCCUCCCUUAUCAGAACACGGCUCAAUCAAUUACAAAUAUCACUCCAGCUCCGGUCACUCAAACAGGGACAUCAUCUCCUCUUUCUUUUCUGGGUUAGAACUUUUACCUUAUCAUGGUGAUAACUGACUACAUUAAAUUCCUUCUGAUGCUCCAACCAAUUAACAGGAAUUUAGUGGCUCUACAAGAACUUUAGAUUGCCUCACAUUGCUGUAGAAGCCAGCAUUUCUCAAUCAGUUUUAGCUGGCUAAAGUCAGAGACAUGGUCAGGGGAGCAGGGCUGGUCACCAACGCAGCUUUGGCAGAGAAUCACUUCCUGGUCUUUUUGUCGCCACUGCAUUCUGCCACACUCAGCCGUCAGCUCUCUCUUCAGACCCAGCGGUGAACACCCUUCCAUCUGUCUGUCAUCAGAAUUUCCCUCUACUUCACUCUCAAGAGGGAGUUUUUGUGGUUGCACUAAGUUGUGCCUGGAUAAUCCAGGAUAAUCUCCUCAGUUCAGGAUCUCCAAAUAAACUCCAGCUACAAAUUUCACGAGCCACGCAUUCACAGUGUUAGGGCCUGGCGGGCAUUAUACCUUCAUGGAGCAGCCAGUAAAAAGAGGAAGGAGGUCAUAUCUUACAAACCUUUUUUUCAUUGAACUUAAUUUCUGUGUAUGUAUUUGAGCUACUGUGUGUUACUAGUACUGUGGAAUGUGAGGCCUCUAGUGUUUUUUUUUAAGAAGCAGAGAAGUAGAUCAAAAUGAUCCAGGAUGAAGUACAAAAGACAAGGGGCAAGGAAAGAAAUACUCAAAGCCUUGUAAAUGGGAGCUCAGGGGCCAGUGUUGCCUGAGUCAUGCCUGCAGCCAUUUCUGAUAAACGGGAAAGAAGACCUACAUGAAGAAUGGCACUGUGAGCUGAGUGGGCAGAUGUUCUUUAAAUGAGCAAUUUUUACAUAAUUCAGGGAGAGGGUUGAGUGGUGAGCUUGUAACUAUCUCUCUUCUUCCAAAAUUAUUUUGAUUUUAACUAAUCUCUGUAUAUGCUUGUAUUUUUGUGUAUGUAUAUGUGUAUUUCUGUAUAGGUUAGAAGAAGAAGUUGAACUCCCCCAGAACUGGAGUUACAGGUGGUCGUGAGCCACCUAAUAUGGGUACUGAGAACUAACUUUGGGUUCCUUGCAAUAGCAGCAAGCAUUCUUAACUGUUCUUCAUGGUAGAAUUUGGCCAUUCAAGUGAUCACAUAAUUACUCUCAUCAGGAGACAUUUGCUAUGUACACAAUUGACUUUUGUGCAUAGUCUUUGGAGAGAUUUUAUUUAUUUUAGACUAUUAAAUUCCCCUUCCUCCACUUAAA
rnacentral:lncRNA from 1 species